rnacentral:rRNA from 1 species
CGUGUAGGCGGUCCGUUAAGUCGAGUGUGAAAGCCCUGGGCUCAACCCAGGACGUGCGCUCGAUACUGGCGGACUUGAGUACGGGAGAGGGUGGCGGAAUUCCCGGUGUAGAGGUGAAAUUCGUAGAUAUCGGGAGGAACACCAGUGGCGAAGGCGGCCACCUGGACCGAUACUGACGCUGAGACGCGAAAGCGUGGGUAGCAAACAGGAUUAGAUACCCUGGUAGUCC